CGACAGGGACACUGGGGAAAGGUGUCAACGUCACAGGUAACGUCACAGAUACAGGAGUCGACAGGGACACUGGGGGAAGGUGUCAACAUCACAGGUAACGUCACAGAUACAGGAGUCGACAGGGACACUGGGGAAAGGUGUCAACAUCACAGGUAACGUCACAGAUAAAGGAGUCGACAGGGACACUGGGGAAAGGUGUCAACAUCACAGGUAACGUCAAAGAUACAGGAGUCGAUAGGGACACUGGGGAAAGGUAUCAACAUCCAAGGUAACGUCAAAAGAUACAGGAGUCGACAGGGACACUGGCGAAAGGUAUCAACAUCACAGGUAACGUCAUAGAUACAGGAGUCGACAGGGACACUGGGGAAAGGUGUCAACAUAACAGGUAACGUCAUAGAUACAGGAGUCGACAGGGACACUGGGGAAAGGAGUCAACAUCAC